rnacentral:rRNA from 1 species
CCUACGGGAUGCAGCAGUGAGGAAUAUUGGUCAAUGGACGCAAGUCUGAACCAGCCAUGCCGCGUGCAGGAAGACGGCUCUAUGAGUUGUAAACUGCUUUUGUACGAGGGUAAACCUGGAUACGUGUAUUCGGCUGAAAGUACUGUACGAAUAAGGAUCGGCUAACUCCGUGCUAACAGCCGCGGUAAUACGGAGGAUCCGAGCGUUAUCCGGAUUUAUUGGGUUUAAAGGGUGCGUAGGCGGAUUGAUAAGUUAGAGGUGAAAUGUCCGGGCUCAACCCGGGAACUGCCUCUAAUACUGUUGGUCUAGAGAAUAGAUGCGGUAGGCGGAAUGUAUGGUGUAGCGGUGAAAUGCUUAGAGAUCAUACAGAACACCGAUUGCGAAGGCAGCUUACCAAUCUAUAUCUGACGUUGAGGCACGAAAGCGUGGGUAGCAAACAGGAUUAGAUACCCGAGUAGUC